rnacentral:rRNA from 1 species
GUAAGGAAUAUUGGUCAAUGGACGAAAGUCUGAACCAGCCAUGCCGCGUGAAGGAUGAAGGCCCUCUGGGUUGUAAACUUCUUUUAUCUGGGACGAAAAAAGGGUAUUCUUACUCACUUGACGGUACCAGAGGAAUAAGCACCGGCUAACUCCGUGCCAGCAGCCGCGGUAAUAUGGAGGGUGCAAGCGUUAUCCGGAUUCACUGGGUUUAAAGGGUGCGUAGGUGGGUAUUUAAGUCAGUGGUGAAAUCUCCGAGCUUAACUCGGAAACUGCCAUUGAUACUAUUUACCUUGAAUGCCCUGGAGGUAAGCGGAAUAUGUCAUGUAGCGGUGAAAUGCUUAGAUAUGACAUAGAACACCAAUUGCGAAGGCAGCUUACUACGGGGUGAUUGACACUGAGGCACGAAAGCGUGGGGAGCAAACAGGAUUAGAUACCCUAGUAGUCC